rnacentral:misc_RNA from 1 species
UCUCCUCCUUCGCAUAAUCAUGGAAAGCGAACCUCUCACAUGGCUAACCCUUUAAAUUCAGUGGCUACCAUUGAGUCAACUCGUUCUUGUAACGAGCUCGGUUAUUCUAAUGCUAGGUUAAGUCAGCAUCAGCAUUUGGUGUUAUCUGGUGGAAAAGAGGAUUUGAGUGCUUUGGCAAUGUUGGAAGAUAGUAUUAAGAAGCUUAAGAGCCCAAAAGCUUCUCCUCGUCCUUCUUUAAGCAGGGACCAGAUUGACUCUGCUUUUGAAUUAUUAGCUGAUUGGUUCUAUGAGGUUUGUGGGUCAGUCUCAUUUUCAAGCCUCGAGCACCCAAAGUUUCGAGCUUUUCUUCAUCAAGUAGGCUUGCCUUCUUUGUCAAGCAGUGACUUGUCUGGUGCUAGACUAGAGAAGAGGUUUCACGUGGCAAAGUCUGAGGUGGAAGCUAGAACUAGAGAUGCUAUGUUCUUACAAGUUGCUUGUAAUGGCUGGAAGAACGAGAAUUGUUGUAGUGGAGAAGAGAAUUUGGUUAAGUUUAGCAUUAAUCUUCCAAAUGGUAUUAGUUUGUAUCAAAAAGCAGUGUUAACCGAAGGAUCGGUGUCUUCAAAGUAUGCUGAAGAGAUUAUGUGGGAGGCAGUGAUGAGCACAUGUGGGAGUGCUUUACAGAGAUGUGUAGGUAUAGUUGCAGAUAAGUACAAGUCAAAGGCAUUGAGGAAUUUGGAGAUUCAAUACCAAUGGAUGGUGAAUCUCUCAUGUCAGGUUCAGGGGUUACUUAGUUUGAUCAAGGAUUUCUUCAAGGAGCUUCAACUUUUCAGGACUGUCACUGAAAAUUGCAUGAAGCUUGCCAAUUUUGUAAAUAAUAAAUCUCAAGUUAGGAUUAGCUUCCAAAAAUAUAGGAUGCAGGAGCUCGAAGAUGCUGGGUUGCUUCGAGUUCCUUCCAGUAAAUGUGAAUGCACAAAGGAUUUUACGCGUGUUUAUGCGAUGCUGGAGGAUAUAUUGAGCUGUGUCCACGUGCUCCAGAUGGUUGUCUUGGAUGAUUCAUAUAAGGUGAUAAGCGUGGAGGAUUCUGUUGCUGGGGAAAUUGCUGGGAUGAUUCAAAGCGAGGGGUUUUGGAAUGAAUUGGAGGCAGUUUAUUCACUAACGAAGCUCAUCAGAAAGAUGGCUCAUGAGAUUGAGGCGGAGCGGCCUUUGAUAGGGCAGUGCCUCCCUCUUUGGGAGGACUUGAAAGCAAAAGUGAAGGAUUGGUCUGCCAGAUUUAACAUUGUUGAUGAACACGUAGAGAAAAUAGUAGAAAAGAGAUUCAGAAAGAACUACCACCCAGCAUGGUCUGCUGCAUUUAUACUUGACCCACUUUACUUGAUGAGGGACACGAGUGGAAAGUACCUUCCUCCAUUCAAGUCCUUGACACAUGAGCAGGAGAAGGAUGUGGACAAGCUUAUAACCCGACUGGUUUCCAGAGAAGAAGCUCAUGUUGCCUUAAUGGAGCUUAUGAAAUGGAGAUCAGAAGGGCUAGAUCCACUGUAUGCCCAGGCUGUUCAGGUUAAACAGAGGGACCCCUCGACUGGAAAGAUGAAAAUUGCACAUCCGCAGGGCAGCAGGUUAGUGUGGGAAACUUGUUUGAGUGAAUAUAAAACAUUAGGCAAGGUUGCAGUCAGGCUUAUCUUCCUCCAUGCGACAUCGUGUGGGUUCAAGUGCAAUCGGUCUUCCAUGAAUUGGGUUUGUAUGCAUAGGAACUCGAGUGUGGGCCUCGAAAGGGCUCAAAAGAUGAUAUUUAUUGCAGCUCAUGCUAAGCUUGAAAGAGGGGACUUCUUGAAUGAAGAAGAAAAAGACGGAGAGCUGGCAGGCUGUGAGGAUGACAUGCUUGAGGAUAGGUUUUGUUUAAGCCAAUUGGAUUUGGUGGAUGGUGAACCACCUUAAGCCCUUGGAGAACGUCCCGGGUCAAACUUGGAAGAACCCAAGAAUGAAUCUUGGUUCUCAUAACAGCACUACUGACUGAUGUAAUCUGCCGUAUCACCUGGAUUGUCUGUUUAUGAAAUUGUCGAGCCCCAUUUUGAGGAUUGGUCCAUCUCAGUGCUUCGUUGUCAAUUGUCAUGGUCAAAGAAAAGUUGGAUCCUUGCAAACUUUUGAUGUCAAGGUUGAAAUUUUUAAGUUAGGGCUAUCAGCUAGGGUCAGCUAAAAAGUCUUUGAGCGAAGGAGAAGCAAGGAGGGUUGUCGGCAUGGAAGGCACAGGAUGGCUGAAAGGGAUACUGCAACAAACUUCAACUGAUUUUAUAGGUUCUCAACUUUGCUUAUGACACAACAUAUGGAAGAUUGUGGCGAAGAUACACAGGCAGGGUUGCACUUUCCAUGUGUUUGCUAGUGGAAUUCCGGAAAUGCUGUCGCAGGCGGUGAAUUUGGUGGAGAGACACAGGACCCUGUCGGCAAAGCUGACUGCUUACCAACUAGAAAGGAAAGUUUUCUUACUCGUAUGGUAUGGAUUUAAUUGUUUGCUCCACUCAUGUUCUUGCUAAAGGGGACGAGGUAUAAUGAUUAAUACAGGACCGCACUUUUCUUUCUACAAGAAUCUUCACACUUUCAAUGCUAUCCCAUGAUUAACCUUUUUUUCUUUUUUUAUUCCACUUAGUUUUGAUUGUUUUCGAAUUCGAAGCCCAUCUAUGAGAGAUGAUUGUUGAAAUGGAUUGGUAUUGUUCAUCCUUUCUGUUUUGUGGACUGUUCACAGUAAUUUUCAGCGGCGUGCAAUUAUGAGGUAACAAGAAAGGUAUCUCUUUUUCCUUUUGUCAUACAUCACAUUCUAUUCAUCAUGUACUCAUAGAUUACCAUAUAAAAAAUAAUUGAAUAACAACAAAAGGAAAAAUAAAGAUAGCAUGAAAGUGAUUAACCAUAUUAUUUAUAUGGUGGGCAUGAUUUUACUCGUUGAAGUGUGAGAUGUAACUUUGGGGAAAAAAAGUGUGAGAUGUAACUCAUUAAUAAAUCAAAAAUUUUUUUUUCA